CAAGUCGCACGAGAAAGUGGAGCAAUCCAUGAGUACAGUGGCGCACGGGUGAGUAACACGUGAAUCAUCUACCUCCGAGUGGGGAAUAACCUAGAGAAAUCUGGGCUAAUACCGCAUAACACUUACGAGUCAAAGCAGCAAUGCGCUUGGAGAGGAGUUCGCGGCCGAUUAGCUAGUUGGCGGGGUAAUGGCCCACCAAGGCGAUGAUCGGUAUCCGGCCUGAGAGGGCGCACGGACACACUGGAACUGAAACACGGUCCAGACUCCUACGGGAGGCAGCAGUGGGGAAUUUUGCGCAAUGGGGGAAACCCUGACGCAGCAACGCCGCGUGGAGGAUGAAAUCCCUUGGGAUGUAAACUCCUUUCGAUGGGGAAGAUUAUGACGGUACCCAUAGAAGAAGCCCCGGCUAACUUCGUGCCAGCAGCCGCGGUAAUACGAGGGGGGCAAGCGUUGUUCGGAAUUAUUGGGCGUAAAGGGUGCGUAGGCGGUCUGACAAGUCUGAUGUGAAAUCUAUGGGCUCAACCCAUAGUCUGCAUCGGAAACUGUCGGGCUUGAGUAUGGGAGAGGUGAGUGGAAUUUCCGGUGUAGCGGUGAAAUGCGUAGAUAUCGGAAGGAACACCUGUGGCGAAAGCGGCUCACUGGACCAUUACUGACGCUGAGGCACGAAAGCUAGGGGAGCAAACAGGAUUAGAUACCCUGGUAGUCCUAGCCCUAAACGAUGAUCGCUUGAUGUGGCAGGUACCCAAUCCUGCCGUGUCGAAGCUAACGCGAUAAGCGAUCCGCCUGGGGAGUACGGUCGCA
rnacentral:rRNA from 1 species